GUCAUUGCAAAUCCAGAACGAAUCUUCCCUUCAAGAAUGGGUACAAGCCAUUCAAGCAGUUGUUCUUUGUUCCCAUAUCUUAGCAAUACCUAUAAUAUGAAGCGAAAUCACCUAAUUAUGAAUGCUUCAAGAUGGUAAAUGUGCAACAAAACAAAAGCAAGCCACAUCAUUCUACAUGCAGAUAUCAAGAAGCUGCUUGGAUGCAUAUUCUUUCAACUAUUACCUUGAAGAAGUUCAGCAAUGUAAGAUUUAUGUGGCUCAGGCAUCCCACUAUACUGCAUGAUAAAGUAUCUCUGAAUAUGUUUAUUCAUGCAACUCAGUUUCUCUCUGCAGGCCUUGUAAGCUAAAAUGAGCUUGAUUUUGAUGAUAACAAAACUUAAUGAAAUAUACAUUAACCUUUUAUGCAUAAGUAUUUGAAGUGAUUUUAUAGGUCAUGAUAUGCAAAGACACUGAUGGAAGGACUAUUCUAUUGACAUGGCUGAUAUAAAAGGAGUUUAUCAUCUUGUAUAACACAAGAUGAAUCAAAGUCCAUGAAGAAAUAUGAUAGAAAUUAAGCUCUUAGGUCCAUUGUACAAGAUUGGAGAAUUUAUGCCAUUUGAGACCUAAAAUUAAUUUUGUUUUUAGAUUCAAGGGUUUAGAAAGUGUUUUUAUAUCAUUCCUAAGGUUUUUGAAUGGUCAAAAUAAUUUUUACAACCUUUCUUCAAAAACUCAAAAUUUCAAUUUUUAAGUCAGGCAGUAGCGAAAUUAGUUAACCCGUUGCAAAAAUUAGUUAACUAGUUUUGAUGUCUAAAAUUCUCUAUCUUACAAAACUAGUUAACCGAUGAAAAUUUUAGUUAACUAUUUUUAUGACCUGACCUGACUCAACUCUGCUGCACGACUUUCUAAGCAAUAACGGCUAUUUUUUUGAAAAUUAAAGAGCCGUUAGACACACUCUCCAGCAGACGUUUUUGGCAAUGAAAAGCACCUAUAAAAGGCAUCAUUUACUACAAUUCUAACUAAUGAAAGUGUUCUUAUUCAUAGUGAAUUUAUUGUGGUUUUUAAAGCUUUCAUUCAAUUACUCUUGAGCUUAAGUGGAAAAUCUUCUCUCUCAAUCUUCUAGCAUUAAAUUCUGUAUUUGAGAGUUAUUGAGAGUGAUUUCUUCUACAUCAAAACCUAUUUAAGGUUGUGUAAGUGUGAGGACACACUUGUGAAAGGUUUUCAAGUACCUAGUGAAGCUUGUAGUCACUUGUGGAAAGCAAAGACAUUAUAAAGGUUUCAAGCACCUAAGAAGCUUGCUGAAAUUGUAAAGGCUUUGAAUUUUGCCUAUUGAAAAAAUCAAACAGUAUAGUGACUCUCAAAGUGGGACUUUGAAAAGAGUAGAUGUAGGCCAAAAAAGCAAAACCACUAUAAAUAUUGCGUUUGAUGAUCUUCUUCCCUUAAAUCUUUAAU
rnacentral:misc_RNA from 1 species